GACGAACGCUGGCGGCGUGCUUAACACAUGCAAGUCGAACGAUGAACCCGGAGCUUGCUCCGGUGGAUUAGUGGCGAACGGGUGAGUAACACGUGAGUAACCUGCCCUUGACUCUGGGAUAACUGCGGGAAACUGUAGCUAAUACCGGAUACGACCCUCGGCGGCAUCGCCAGGGGGUGGAAAGAAUUUCGGUCAAGGAUGGACUCGCGGCCUGUCAGCUAGUUGGUGAGCUAACGGCUCACCAAGGCGACGACGGGUACCCGGCCUGAGAGGGCGGCCGGCCACACUGGGACGGAGACACGGCCCAGGCUGCUGCGGGAGGCAGCAGGGGAGAAUAGUGCACAAUGGGCGGAAGCCUGAUGCAGCAGCGCCGCGUGAGGGAUGUCGGCCUUCGGGUUGUAAGCCUCUUUUAGUAGGGAAGAAGGGAAAGUGAUGGUACCUGCAGAACAAGCACCGGCUAGCUACGUGCCAGCAGCCGCAGUAA
rnacentral:rRNA from 1 species